CUGGCGGUGCAGUAUUAUCAG
rnacentral:siRNA from 1 species